GAUGAACGCUGGCGGCGUGCCUAAUACAUGCAAGUCGAGCGAACGGACGAGAAGCUUGCUUCUCUGAUGUUAGCGGCGGACGGGUGAGUAACACGUGGAUAACCUACCUAUAAGACUGGGAUAACUUCGGGAAACCGGAGCUAAUACCGGAUAAUAUUUUGAACCGCAUGGUUCAAAAGUGAAAGACGGUCUUGCUGUCACUUAUAGAUGGAUCCGCGCUGCAUUAGCUAGUUGGUAAGGUAACGGCUUACCAAGGCAACGAUGCAUAGCCGACCUGAGAGGGUGAUCGGCCACACUGGAACUGAGACACGGUCCAGACUCCUACGGGAGGCAGCAGUAGGGAAUCUUCCGCAAUGGGCGAAAGCCUGACGGAGCAACGCCGCGUGAGUGAUGAAGGUCUUCGGAUCGUAAAACUCUGUUAUUAGGGAAGAACAUAUGUGUAAGUAACUGUGCACAUCUUGACGGUACCUAAUCAGAAAGCCACGGCUAACUACGUGCCAGCAGCCGCGGUAAUACGUAGGUGGCAAGCGUUAUCCGGAAUUAUUGGGCGUAAAGCGCGCGUAGGCGGUUUUUUAAGUCUGAUGUGAAAGCCCACGGCUCAACCGUGGAGGGUCAUUGGAAACUGGAAAACUUGAGUGCAGAAGAGGAAAGUGGAAUUCCAUGUGUAGCGGUGAAAUGCGCAGAGAUAUGGAGGAACACCAGUGGCGAAGGCGACUUUCUGGUCUGUAACUGACGCUGAUGUGCGAAAGCGUGGGGAUCAAACAGGAUUAGAUACCCUGGCAGUCCACGCCGUAAACGAUGAGUGCUAAGUGUUAGGGGGUUUCCGCCCCUUAGUGCUGCAGCUAACGCAUUAAGCACUCCGCCUGGGGAGUACGACCGCAAGGUUGAAACUCAAAGGAAUUGACGGGGACCCGCACAAGCGGUGGAGCAUGUGGUUUAAUUCGAAGCAACGCGAAGAACCUUACCAAAUCUUGACAUCCUUUGACAACUCUAGAGAUAGAGCCUUCCCCUUCGGGGGACAAAGUGACAGGUGGUGCAUGGUUGUCGUCAGCUCGUGUCGUGAGAUGUUGGGUUAAGUCCCGCAACGAGCGCAACCCUUAAGCUUAGUUGCCAUCAUUAAGUUGGGCACUCUAAGUUGACUGCCGGUGACAAACCGGAGGAAGGUGGGGAUGACGUCAAAUCAUCAUGCCCCUUAUGAUUUGGGCUACACACGUGCUACAAUGGACAAUACAAAGGGCAGCGAAACCGCGAGGUCAAGCAAAUCCCAUAAAGUUGUUCUCAGUUCGGAUUGUAGUCUGCAACUCGACUACAUGAAGCUGGAAUCGCUAGUAAUCGUAGAUCAGCAUGCUACGGUGAAUACGUUCCCGGGUCU
rnacentral:rRNA from 1 species